CAGGAACAGGCAGACAGGUCUGGGUGCAGCCGCGGUGGAUGACGAUGGCCGGUCGCCGAUGGCUCGUCCCGCCCGUUCAAGGCCUGCUGCUCUGCAUCUUGGCUCUGCACAUCCAUCUCCAGGACUCUCUUGCCCCAGC